AUGAGGUCUAGACCAGGUCUGGACCUAUGUGCAUGUGGCGAAUACAUUUCAUUUUAUUAUGUGAGCGAAUGUGUUGUGACACUUACAAACCCCCUGCCGACGUAUCUGUUAGGCUAAUGUUGGAGAAAACACCAGGCAGAACAGUCAACAAAUCUGAACGAAGUGUUUGUAAAAGCUCCACAGUCGUAUCGAUCUGCUAAAUAAGACUUUUUAAGCCAAUGUGAACUUAUUUAUCAGUGAUAUGUGCCCGUGUUUUUGUCACAUCUGAUAGUCGAAUGGAUAAGGACAUGACCCUACCAGCACUGCUUCUAAACCAACAGCCUGCAUACCAUGUGGACGCAGAAAUCAAGCUCAGAAGUUAAUUUCCAGAUAUAAUUGAUGAAGGCCCUCAGCCAGAAAGGGUGGAACAUCUUUAACAUCCUGAUGGGUUGUCAGAUUUCCAAGCCUCAGGU